rnacentral:rRNA from 1 species
UACGGAGGAUCCGAGCGUUAUCCGGAUUUAUUGGGUUUAAAGGGUGCGUAGGCGGCUUUUUAAGUCAGGGGUGAAAACUUGCGGCUCAACCGUAAGCUUGCCUUUGAUACUGAGGAGCUUGAAUACACUUGAGGUAGGCGGAAUGUGACAAGUAGCGGUGAAAUGCAUAGAUAUGUCACAGAACACCAAUUGCGAAGGCAGCUUACUAAAGUGAGAUUGACGCUGAGGCACGAAAGCGUGGGGAUCAAACAGG